UACAUAAAGUUUGCUCACUCAAGGGAGUCUUGCUCAUCCCCUAUGAAAGGGGGUGGGAAAAUGACUGUUUACGAAUCAUUAAUGAUAAUGAUCAAUUUUGGCGGAUUGAUAUUAAAUACCGUCUUGUUGAUCUUCAAUAUAAUGAUGAUUGUAACGUCAAGCCAAAAGAAAAAAUAGACCUCCCCUUGAGAUUGCGACCCUAAAGGGUUGGUCUACUAUGUCACAUACAUCUGAGCAAGCCCUUUGAUGGGCAGCUUUUUGUACAGAGCUGGGGUGUUGGUAGCACCCUGG
rnacentral:sRNA from 1 species